UGAAAAAGAAAAAACAAGAUGAACCUAGUACAACUAAUACAUUGCAUUGUAUGCAUGUGCCAUAACGUAUAAGGAGGACUUACCUGACUAUCUUUUAAAUAACAGUCCCAACAUACUUCGUCUUGUGCCUAAUAGAAGCCGCAUGCAGCAGAUGUUCCACAUGUAGAUAAGUGUGACAUGAUGCUUCAUGUUGCAUUGUCAUCCAUCAUCGAUCUCCUCAUAUUUCAAUGGCACAUCCUUGGCAUCCUGUCACCGGAAACUCCAGCACCGUCCGGCUGCGGGAGCCCCAGCGUGAGCGGCAGGCCGGCGACAGAGCGCACGAAGCGGCAAACAUAUCCAGACCUCUGCUUCCUGACCAGACAAAACAAGUGACGGAAAACGCAUUGGAACAGCAUGUGGCACUAAAGACACUGGUAAAACCAAGUAAUAAAAUUGGUUGCGCAAUUUU